rnacentral:rRNA from 1 species
UACAGAGGGUGCGAGCGUUGUCCGGAAUCACUGGGCGUAAAGGGCGCGUAGGCGGCCUGAUAAGUAGGGGGUGAAAUCUUGCGGCUCAACCGCAAGGCUGCCUUCUAAACUGUCAGGCUGGAGCACGGUAGAGGCAGAUGGAAUUCCCGGUGUAGCGGUGGAAUGCGUAGAGAUCGGGAGGAACACCUGCGGCGAAGGCGGGUUGCUGGGCUGACACUGACGCUGAGGCGCGAAAGCCAGGGGAGCGAACGGG